rnacentral:rRNA from 1 species
GNGCUACCGCUAUUGGAGUUCGAUUAAGCCAUGCGAGUCGAGAGUCUUAGGGACUCGGCGUACCGCUCAGUAACACGUGGGUAACCUGCCCUAUGCUGGGGAAUAACCUCGGGAAACUGAGAAUAAUGCCCCAUAGUCCACCAUGCCUGGAACGGUUGGUGGAUGAAAGCUCCGGCGGCAUAGGAUGGGCCUGCGGCGUAUCAGGUCGUAGGGGGUGUAACGUACCCUCUAGCCAUCGACGCGUACGGGUGUUGGGAGACAUAGCCCGGAGAUGGAUUCUGAGACACGAAUCCAGACCCUACGGGGUGCAGCAGGCGCGAAAACUUGGCAAUGCGAGAAAUCGUGACCAGGGAACUCCAAGUGGCUGGGGUAAGACCCAGUCUUUUCUUGACUCUUCAAAGGUCUUGGAAUAAGGGGUGGGUAAGGACGGUGCCAGCCGCCGCGGUAAUACCGGCGCCUCAAGUGGUAGUCGAUUUUAUUGGGCCUAAAACGUCCGUCGCCUGUUUGGUACAUUCGUGGGUAAAUCAACCAGCUCAACUGGUUGAAUUCUGCGAGCACGGCCAGACUUGGGACCGGGAGAGGUGUGGGGUACGCUCAGGGUAGGGGGUAAAAUCCUGUCAUCCUGAGCGGACCACCUGUUGCGAAGGCUCCACACUAGAACGGAUCCGACGGUCAGGGACGAAGCCUAGGGGCACGAACCGGAUUAGAUACCCGGGUAGUCCUAGGUGUAAACGCUGUGGACUUGGUGUUGGG